UACGGAGGAUGCAAGCGUUAUCCGGAUUUAUUGGGUUUAAAGGGUGCGCAGGUUGUUUGAUAAGUCAGUGGUGAAAGUCUGUCGCUUAACGGUAGGAUUGCCAUUGAUACUGUUAGACUUGAAUAUGGAUGAGGUAGGCGGAAUGUGUAGUGUAGCGGUGAAAUGCAUAGAUAUUACACAGAACACCGAUUGCGAAGGCAGCUUACUAAUCCAUCAUUGACGCUGAGGCACGAAAGCGUGGGGAUCAAACAGGAUUA
rnacentral:rRNA from 1 species